rnacentral:rRNA from 1 species
CACGCAGGCGGUUUGGUAAGUCAGAGGUGAAAGCCCACAGCUUAACUGUGGCAUUGCCUUUGAUACUGCCUUUCUUGAGUACAGUAGGGGGAAGCGGAAUUCCGAGUGUAGAGGUGAAAUUCGUAGAUAUUCGGAGGAACACCGGUGGCGAAGGCGGCUUCCUGGACUGUAACUGACGCUCAUGUGCGAAAGCGUGGGGAGCAAACAGGAUUAGAUACCCUGGUAGUCCACGCCCUAAACGAUGGGCACUAGGUGUGGGAGGUAUCGACCCCUUCCGUGCCGCAGCUAACGCAUUAAGUGCCCCGCCUGGGGAGUACGGCCGCAAGGUUGAA